rnacentral:rRNA from 1 species
AUUGAACGCUGGCGGCGUGCUUAACACAUGCAAGUCGAACGAAGUGGCGAACGGGUGAGUAACGCGUAAUCAACCUGCCCUUCAGAGGGGGACAACAGUUGGAAAAGACUGCUAAUACCGCAUACUGAAGGGGGAGAUUGCGUUCGAUUAGCUAGUUGGGGGGGUAACGGCCCACCAAGGCGAGGAUCAGUAGCCGGCCGGAGAGGGUGAACGGCCAGAUUGGGACGUAGACGCGGCCCAGACUCCUACGGGAGGCAGCAGGAGGGAAUCUGCCGCAAUGGACGUAAGUCUGACGGGGCAACGCCGCGUGAGUGAAGACGGCCUGCGGGUUGUAAAGCUCUGUUUAUCGGGACGCGGUACCGGAAUAGAAAGCGACGGCUAACUACGUGCCAGCAGCCGCGGUAAUUC